UACAGAGGGUGCAAGCGUUGUUCGGAAUUACUGGGCGUAAAGCGUGCGUAGACGGCUAUCUAAGUCGGGUGUGAAAGCCCCGGGCUCAACCUGGGAAUUGCAUUCGAGACUGAAUAGCUAGGGUACGGUAGAGGGAAGCGGAAUUUCCGGUGUAGCGGUGAAAUGCGUAGAUAUCGGAAGGAACAUCAGUGGCGAAAGCGGCUUCCUGGACCAGUACCGACGUCAGGCACGAAAGCGUGGGGAGCAAACAGGA
rnacentral:rRNA from 1 species